rnacentral:rRNA from 1 species
UCGGGAAUAUUGCGCAAUGGAGGAAACUCUGACGCAGCGACGCCGCGUAUGGGAAGAAGGUUUUCGGAUUGUAAACCAUUGUCGUUAGGGAAGAAGAAGUGACAGUACCUAAGGAGGAAGCUCCGGCUAACUAUGUGCCAGCAGCCGCGGUAAUACAUAGGGAGCGAGCGUUAUCCGGAUUUAUUGGGUGUAAAGGGUGCGUAGACGGGAAUACAAGUUGGUUGUGAAAGCCCUCGGCUUAACUGAGGAACUGCAACCAAAACUAUAUUUCUUGAGUAUCGGAGAGGAAAGUGGAAUUCCUAGUGUAGCGGUGAAAUGCGUAGAUAUUAGGAGGAACACCAGUGGCGAAGGCGACUUUCUGGACGAAAACUGACGUUGAGGCACGAAAGUGUGGGGAGCAAACAGG